UCUCCUUCAGGAUAUGGUAAUGGUGGAUCUGUCUCAUCACAAGCUCCAUCACAAGCAAGUAUAGGAUCCUGGUCAUCACCUAGGGCUUUAAAUGAACCUGCUCCCUUUGUGCCAAUGAUGUAUUCACCAACUCCAGGGGUUCCUUCUCAAAAUUCAGAAUGGAAUGGGUAUCAGGUAGUGGCAUUGCUCUUAUUGUGGUUAGCCUAGCCAUAAAUGUUUGUCUGUUUAUCAUCCUCUCUGUUGCAUGAUCAAUUGAAGGGAAAUAAUGGCAGAAUAAUUGGCAAUAACAAAAAAUAAUGGCAGAAUAAUUGGCAAUAACAAAACUGUUCCUUAAUACUCUUUUUUGUUUCACCUGAUGCUUAGUUUACCCUUGUCUAGACACUACUGUAGUAUUUUAAAUGGUUCAAGUUAACGUUCGUUUUACAUUUCAUCCAAAAAGGGCUUCUGCUUUGAAUUGUAAAAUGUAACUUACCUUCCCAAAACUUUUCUUACAAGUUUCUUUGUUUCUCAACAAAAGGAAAAAAAAAAUUACGUCUCAAAAAAUUAAUAAUAAUAAAUUUUAGAUGUGAAGUGGUUUUGCUUGUCUGUAAAGUUCAUUCAAUUACUUAUCAAUUCGUUUUCUGAUUGGUUUGAUCUGCUUAUGGCAUGUCAAGUCUCCUCUAUAUCCACAAGAAAGGAGCGUGCAGUCAGCCCCCACGUAUGUCAUAAACAACAACCCAUUGGUAGAUAAUGUCCAGAUAAUUCAUCAGCCGCAGAUGCUAGUUGGUGAGUUCCCAGAACGACCUGGCCAGCCUGAGUGCAGUUACUUCCUAAGAAC
rnacentral:lncRNA from 1 species